rnacentral:rRNA from 1 species
CUCCUACGGAGGCAGCAGUAAGGAAUAUUGGUCAAUGGACGCAAGUCUGAACCAGCCAUGCCGCGUGGAGGAUGAAGGCCCUCUCGGGUUGUAAACGUUCUUUUAAUUGGGAAGAGACCNGUUUUUCUAAGUCAGUUGACGGUACCCGAUGAAUAAGCACCGGCUAACUCCGUGCCAGCAGCCGCGGUAAUAC